AUGAUAGCGGGCCAGAGCCUCUGGGCCCCCGCCCUCACCGCCAUGCUCUGCCCCCGAGGCCCGCGAGCAUCGAGUUACCCCAUGGAUGCGGAGGGCAGAGGGACCCGGGCCUGUGCGGGGCCUCGGGGCAGGGAGCUCAGUGCCGCCCGGGCUCUGCCCUGGCUGUGCCCGUCACUGCCCAGCGAGGGGCACGAGCUGCAGUGGCUGCGGGGCAGGAAGGGUGUCCUGGGCCCGACAGCGUCGUCCCUAGGGGGCUGGGGGGACCCCGUGAUGGGAGUCCCGGGGGUGCUCCAGGGCCUGGUCUGUCGCAGGGCCUCUGGGGUGGCCCAGGCAGGUGCCGAAGGGAAGGGGACCCCGUUUUUUGUCUUGAAGCCCACCAUGUCCGGGGGCCGCCUGCCUGCACCGUCUUGUUGCACUGGGAGGGUGGGGAGGGAGUUCCAUCACUGGGGGGGAAGUUGGACGAUGGCCUGGCCGGGAGGGGGUCCGGGCGGCUCAGGCUGGGUGGCUGGGCCCGGGGAGGCCUGCUCCUCCACCCUGGGCGGUGGCUCAGAGGCCGGAGAAGGGAGGAGAGGCCCGGGCACCGGGGACACUCGCUCUAGGCCCAGGGGCCUCGUGGGGAACUCCUCAGGUCCCACUGGAAAGAGGCCGACGGGGUCAGCGUCUCCAGCAGGGUGUGUGUCCCCUGCUGGGGGCCCUGGGGGUCCUCACGGCUCCCGCAUGGCCCCCCGGCCUGACCCUGUGCUCAGCCCCCCACACUGGUACCCAGGCCCUGCAGUGGGUGCCCGCACGCCCAGCCCUGGCCUGGGGUCCCCGAGGCUGGAGCAGAAGAGGAGAGCCCCAGAGAUGAGGACGGGGGCCCCGGGGUCUCUGUCCCUGUGGGCGGCCCCAGCAGGCCGAGUCGGGAGGGGCCGGGGCCCUGAGCCCACUUGGGGGGGACAGGUUGCACCGCAUCCUCCAGAGCUAGGUCAUGGAGGCCCGAAGGUGUCUGAGCACCGCCUCGUCCUUCAGGGCCCAGGGCUGGGCCAGAGAGUCCUGGAGGAACUCCCGGAGCCCUUCCAGGAGCAGCUUCAGGAGGCGCUCUGGGCGGUGGGCGAGAGUCAGACCCAGAGGGCCCCGCCCUGGGGCCCCUGGUGCUCCCAGGCCAGCAGC
rnacentral:lncRNA from 12 species